rnacentral:rRNA from 1 species
ACACUGACACUGACAUACGGGUCAGACUCNUNCGGGAGGCAGCAGUCGGGAAAUUUUGGGCAAUGGGCGAAAGCCUGACCCAGCAACGCNGCGUGAAGGAUGAAAUCCUUCGGGAUGUAAACUUCGCAAGAACGGNANGAAUAAGUAAGGGNUAAUAUCUCUUACGAUGACGGUACCGUUUGUAAGCUCCGGCUAACUCCGUGCCAGCAGCCGCGGUAAUACGGGGGGAGCAAGCGUUGNUNNGAUUUACUGGGCGUAAAGGGCGCGUAGGCGGCCACCGCAAGUCGACUGUGAAAUCUCCGGGCUUAACCCGGAACGGUCAGCCGAUACUGCGGGGCUAGAGUGCAGAAGGGGCAACUGGAAUUCUCGGUGUAGCGGUGAAAUGCGUAGAUAUCGAGAGGAACACCUGCGGCGAAGGCGGGUUGCUGGGCUGACACUGACGCUGAGGCGCGAAAGCUAGGGGAGCGAACGGGAUUAGAUACCCCGGUAGUCCUAGCCUUAAACGAUGAAUGCUUGGUGUCUGGGGUUUUAUAGUCCCCGGGUGCCGUCGCUAACGCUUUAAGCAUUCCGCCUGGGGAGUACGGUCGCAAGACUGAAACUCAA